AGCGAACGCUGGCGGCAGGCCUAACACAUGCAAGUCGAACGGACCCUUCGGGGUUAGUGGCGGACGGGUGAGUAACACGUGGGAACGUGCCUUUAGGUUCGGAAUAGCUACUGGAAACGGGUGGUAAUGCCGAAUGUGCCCUUCGGGGGAAAGAUUUAUACGCCUUUAGAGCGGCCCGCGUAUGAUUAGCUAGUUGGUGAGGUAAUGGCUCACCAAGGCGACGAUCAGUAGCUGGUCUGAGAGGAUGACCAGACACAUUGGGACUGAGACACGGCCCAAACACCUACGGGAGGCAGCAGUGGGGAAUCUUGCGCAAUGGGCGAAAGCCUGACGCAGCCAUGCCGCGUGAAUGAUGAAGGUCUUAGGAUCGUAAAAUUCUUUCACCGGGGACGAUAAUGACGGUACCCGGAGAAGAAGCCCCGGCUAACUUCGUGCCAGCAGCCGCAGUAAUAC
rnacentral:rRNA from 1 species